rnacentral:rRNA from 1 species
GACGAACGCUGGCGGCGUGCUUAACACAUGCAAGUCGAACGGGCCUGUCUUCUUUUUUGGGGGUGGGUUGAGUGGCGAACGGGUGAGUAUCACGUGAGUAACCUGCCCUUCGGUCCUGGAUAACCGCUUGAAAGGCCGGCUAAUACGGGGUGGUCCGGUUGGUCCGCAUGGGCUGGUCGGGAUAGAUUCACUUUUUUUGGUGUUUCGGCGGGGGAUGGGCUCGCGGGCUAUCAGCUUGUUGGUGGGGUGAUGGCCUACCAAGGCGGUGACGGGUAGCCGGCCUGAGAGGGUGGGCGGCCACACUGGGACUGAGAUACGGCCCAGACUGCUGCGGGAGGCAGCAGUGGGGGGUAUUGCACAAUGGGCGGAAGCCUGAUGCAGCGACGUCGCGUGAGGGAUGGAGGCCUUCGGGUUGUGAACCUCUGUUUCCGGUGGUGAAGGCCCUGUCCGUGUGGUGGGGUUGACGGUAGCCGGGGAUGAAGCGCCGGCUAACUACGUG